AUGACAAUAUACUUCUGUCUUAUACAUGCAGAACAGGAUGAGACAAUUCCAAUUUGCAUUUACCACGGAAAUGGAAUAAACUUAAUUCCAAUUUGCAUUUACCACGGAAAUGGAAUAAACUUAAUUCCAAUUUCCAACCAAUCUAUAAAUUGUUCCACUUCAAAUGGUUUUGAAACAUAUAACACUAACUAUGAUUUAUGCAGAUUUAUGCACUACCAUCAUAGUUUUCAUUUUUGA